GGCCAUGCCAACAUUGGUGCUGGA
rnacentral:siRNA from 1 species